rnacentral:rRNA from 1 species
UACGAAGGGGGCUAGCGUUGCUCGGAAUUACUGGGCGUAAAGGGAGCGUAGGCGGGUCGGUCAAGUUGGGGGUGAAAGCCCAGGGCUCAACCUUGGAAUUGCCUUCAAAACUGACGAUCUAGAGUAUGGAAGAGGUAAGUGGAACUCCGAGUGUAGAGGUGAAAUUCGUAGAUAUUCGGAAGAACACCAGUGGCGAAGGCGACUUACUGGUCCAUGACUGACGCUGAGGCUCGAAAGCGUGGGGGAGCAAACAGG